rnacentral:rRNA from 1 species
UACGUAGGGUGCGAGCGUUAAUCGGAAUUACUGGGCGUAAAGCGUGCGCAGGCGGUUUUGUAAGCCGGAUGUGAAAUCCCCGGGCUCAACCUGGGAACUGCAUUUGUGACUGCACGGCUGGAGUGCGGCAGAGGGGGAUGGAAUUCCGCGUGUAGCAGUGAAAUGCGUAGAUAUGCGGAGGAACACCGAUGGCGAAGGCAAUCCCCUGGGCCUGCACUGACGCUCAUGCACGAAAGCGUGGGGAGCAAACAGG